rnacentral:rRNA from 1 species
UACGUAGGCAGCAAGCGUUGUUCGGAGUUACUGGGCGUAAAGGGUGUGUAGGCGGUUAUUUAAGUUUGGUGUGAAAUCUCCCGGCUCAACCGGGAGGGUGCGCCGAAUACUGAAUGACUUGGAGUGCGGGAGAGGAAAGUGGAAUUCCUGGUGUAGCGGUGAAAUGCGUAGAUAUCUGGAGGAACACCGGUGGCGAAGGCGGCAUCCUGGACCGAGAUUGACGCUGAGGCGCGAAAGCCAGGGGAGCAAACAGG